AUUGAACGCUGGCGGCAUGCCUUACACAUGCAAGUCGAACGGCAGCACGGGUGCUUGCACCUGGUGGCGAGUGGCGAACGGGUGAGUAAUACAUCGGAACAUGUCCUGUAGUGGGGGAUAGCCCGGCGAAAGCCGGAUUAAUACCGCAUACGAUCUACGGAUGAAAGCGGGGGACCUUCGAGCCUCGCGCUAUAGGGUUGGCCGAUGGCUGAUUAGCUAGUUGGUGGGGUAAAGGCCUACCAAGGCGACGAUCAGUAGCUGGUCUGAGAGGACGACCAGCCACACUGGGACUGAGACACGGCCCAGACUCCUACGGGAGGCAGCAGUGGGGAAUUUUGGACAAUGGGCGUAAGCCUGAUCCAGCAAUGCCGCGUGUGUGAAGAAGGCCUUCGGGUUGUAAAGCACUUUUGUCCGGAAAGAAAUCCUUGGCCCUAAUACGGUCGGGGGAUGACGGUACCGGAAGAAUAAGCACCGGCUAACUACGUG
rnacentral:rRNA from 1 species